rnacentral:rRNA from 1 species
GUGGGGAAUAUUGCACAAUGGGGGAAACCCUGAUGCAGCAACGCCGCGUGAAGGAUGACGGUUUUCGGAUUGUAAACUUCUUUUCUUAGUGACGAAGACAGUGACGGUAGCUAAGGAAUAAGCAUCGGCUAACUACGUGCCAGCAGCCGCGGUAAUACGUAGGAUGCAAGCGUUAUCCGGAUUUACUGGGUGUAAAGGGAGCGCAGGCGGGACUGCAAGUUGGAUGUGAAAUACCGUGGCUUAACCACGGAACUGCAUCCAAAACUGUAGUUCUUGAGUGAAGUAGAGGCAAGCGGAAUUCCGAGUGUAGCGGUGAAAUGCGUAGAUAUUCGGAGGAACACCAGUGGCGAAGGCGGCUUGCUGGGCUUUAACUGACGCUGAGGCUCGAAAGUGUGGGGAGCAAACAGGAUUAGAUACCCUGGUAGUCCACACUGUAAACGAUGAUAGCUAGGUGUGGGGGGUCUGACCCCUUCCGUGCCGGAGUUAACGCAAUAAGCUAUCCACCUGGGGAGUACGACCGCAAGGUUGAAACUCAAAGGAAUUGACGGGGGCCCGCACAAGCAGUGGAUUAUGUGGUUUAAUUCGAAGCAACGCGAAGAACCUUACCAGGUCUUGACAUCCGACUAACGAAGCAGAGAUGCAUUAGGUGCCCUUCGGGGAAAGUCGAGACAGGUGGUGCAUGGUUGUCGUCAGCUCGUGUCGUGAGAUGUUGGGUUAAGUCCCGCAACGAGCGCAACCCCUGCCAUUAGUUGCUACGCAAGAGCACUCUAAUGGGACCGCUACCGACAAGGUGGAGGAAGGUGGGGACGACGUCAAAUCAUCAUGCCCCUUAUGACCUGGGCUACACACGUAAUACAAUGGCCGUUAACAGAGGGAAGCAAAGCGGUGACGCAGAGCAAAACCCUAAAAACGGUCCCAGUUCGGACUGUAGGCUGCAACCCGCCUACACGAAGUUGGAAUUGCUAGUAAUCGCGGAUCAGCAUGCCGCGGUGAAUACGUUCCCGGGCCUUGUACACACCGCCCGUCACACCAUGGGAGUUUGUAACACCCGAAGUCAGUGACCCAACCGCAAGGAGGGAGCUGCCGAAGGUGGGAUAAGCGACUGGGGUGAAGUCGUAACAAGGUAGCCGUAGGAGAGAUCGGAAG